rnacentral:lncRNA from 1 species
UUUAUAUUGAGCUCUGUACAAGAACUCCAGCUGGAAUUUCCCUGCUUCUUUUCUGGAACUCUUCUGAUAAUGCUGUUAUUGAUGAUGCAUUCUGUAGGACAGACAGCAAUUUGGCAUUUGCAAUGUUACAAUUCACUUUUAGAUGUAUUUGAUGCAUUACUCCGUUAGGUUCAGGGUAAGUGGCUGUGCACCAAGAACCACUGUGUUCAAAAUUGUCAAAAUGUAAGUCUAUGGUCAAGGAAAGUGUACAUGUAAACAGUCAUCAGCCAACUUUUACAAGUGUGCUACAGCAUUUGGGUUCUCUUGUGUUUGUGGUAGUUUAUCGACGGUUAUUGUGAGAUGAUUUUGCUCCGUGGAGCCAUUGACUUUCGGGAAAGCCAUCAGUCUCACCGUCUCACCCAAAGACCCUCCAAAAUCUCCCCCUUCCAUUUCAAUUCUGACCCCCGCGGGAGUCGGGUCAACUGCGACCACUCAGGUAUGUUUGGCCGAGACGUUUGGGAGCAAGACCGGGGAGAUGACGGUGACCACGACUGAAGCAGUCAAAGUGGAUGUGUCAAAGUCAGUCCUGUCCCCCCAAAAGAAGACCUACUACUUAGCUGCCUUUGUGUCUAAUGCCAUAAAGGAAUGCAGUCUGCAAGGUGUGACCGAAAAGUCAGAGGAAAAUGAUCUCCAAACAGUCCCUCCAGUUAUGGAAGUGACUGAAAAAAUGCCUGAACCCAACUGUGUCAAUGUCACCAUUAGCAACCAGACGGUGGUUUCAGAUCCAGAUCCAGAUCCGAAGAUGAAUUUCAUGUCUUUGUUGGUCACUGGUCUGAGGAUUGUGUUUGCAAAAGCAGUGGCAGUUAACGUGAUGAUGACUGUCAAAGUACUGGUGAUGUAAGGAACUGUGGAGAAAUCAGUCUAAUUCCUUCAGGCUGAUUCGCAAGUUUCAUUUGCAGUAGAUCACAUCGCUCCUGUGUAAUUGAGAUCUGAGAUCUGUUGGAUAGACAUAUGUUUGCAAUAUUUCAUAGCUUUGACUGCAGUAUGGAGCUGGUAGAAUUCAACCCUUGCUAUUUACUAUCCUUGCUAUUUCAUAACAUAUGCUUUUAAAUCAUGAGCCUAUGAACCACAAACUUUCUAACAUUUUUUCUGUACGCUAAUUAAAAAACAAAACCAACAUUUUUUUGCGUGACUGUCUUUGCUUUUGAUUUGUGUUAGAUAUUUGAUGUUAAUAUUUGAAAAUAAGUUGCAUUUUAUAGUCUAAAUUAUUUGAUGAAUUAAUAAAAAUGCAAUGCAAAUAGUUGCCCUCGAGCA